ACCUGCGGAAGGAUCAUUGAUCUCUUAUUUUUGUGGAAAAACUUGAGCUUAUGUCAUCUAACGAUUGUAAUUUCUCUCUAACCCAGUGGGGAGCACUUUGCUUCGGAUGGAGGAGAUUUAACGAAUAUAAUGUAUUAUGAUAGUGAAAUCCUCCCCUAGGGUUAGGGAUAAAAUAUAAAAGCGCUAGAAUGCGUCAAGGAAAAAACAUGAGUGCAUAUUGAGUAGGAUAUGUAUGGAUAACUAUUUAUGUAUGAACGCGGUCCAUAUGUUCCUAGGACAUAUAUAGAAUAUGCCGCUAUGAUAAUUUUGUGGAUGACUCUCGACAACGGAUAUCUAGGCUCUUGCAUCGAUGAAGAAUGUAGCAAAAUGCGAUAAUUAGUGUGAAUUGCAGGAUCCCGUGAACCAUUGAGUUUUUGAAUGCAAGUUGCACCCUAUGCCUGUUUGGCCAAGGGUAUUUCUGCUCAGGUGUCAAUUUAAUUCGCCUUAAACAAUUAUAUGCGUUGCAUAAAAAAGGCGUUAUACAUUAUGGCUUCUGGUGUGCUUUGUAACACUGGAUGCUCAAGAGUAAAUUAAUAUCUUCUCUAAUUUAUAUAACGGCAUGAGGAGGAAUAAAAACUUUAGUAAUUAGUUAUAAGGCUUUUGUCGUAUCAUUUAUUAACCGAGCUAGAAUAUUCAAAGUUGUCGGCAUAUAUAGAGUUUUUACUCUUGUAUACAACUAGACCCUGGGUCAGGAAUGGCAACCCGCUGAGCUUAAGCAUAUCAUA
rnacentral:rRNA from 1 species